rnacentral:rRNA from 1 species
GACAGAGGGUGCAAACGUUGCUCGGAAUCACUGGGCGUAAAGGGCGUGUAGGCGGACUUGCAAGUCAGGCGUGAAAUCCCACGGCUCAACCGUGGAAGUGCAUUCGAAACUGCAGGGCUAGAGUCCUGGAGAGGAAGGUGGAAUGCUUGGUGUAGAGGUGAAAUUCGUAGAUAUCAAGCGGAACACCGGUGGCGAAGGCGGCCUUCUGGACAGUGACUGACGCUGAGACGCGAAAGCGUGGGGAGCAAACAGG